CUCUCGCGAUACUCGCCAGGCCGAUAACAGGGGUGGGGGUGGCGGAGGCGGAGCCGCGAACCCUUCCGAGCCAAGGAGCGCCUGCGACCCCUCCGCGCGAGCGUGCCCGCGGGCACCGCCUAUUGGCCGCCGUCCCGGCCACGUGCGGCCCCACGUGACGAGACCCAGCAAUCCCAGGAUACAGGAAUUGUUCCUCAACAACGCUCCCAAGGAGACAGGACAGAAAGAAGCAAAGAAGCAGAGCUCUGAGUUUGAGAGAGCAGCCUGCAGCUCUGAAGCAAGCUUCACUUGCUCUCCUGCGCUUUGUGUUGCCCUAGGAGGUGUUCCCUUACAGCACAGUGCUAGCCAACAGCGGUGAAACUCCACACUGACUUCAACAGAGGGUAUAAAUCAGAGCAGUUCAAACAAAGUCAGUGGAGCAAUGCUGAAGACCAGGAGGAUGUACACCUAUAACCUGUAAACAUAAUGCUGCUGCAAGAUGUUGACAAACCAUGCUGGGAUACCAAAACCUUCCCUCCCAAGCUGUAAUGUGGGCAGUGUCAAUCACAACCUGCUUUCAGGAUACUAUGACCUUAACCAGGGAAUCUGUUAACUAUGAUAAGGGUCUGAAAUGGGGGCACAUAAUGGAGAAAAAUGGAGUGGAGACCAAACUCAUUUCAUAUGACUAAACACCUAUGAGAUCUCACAAACGUUUGAACGCUACACAUCUGAAAGUCACUGACUUACUACAGAUCAUUUUCCAUUAUCAUCCCACUUCUUAUACCAGAUUCAGUACCCCAGAGUGCCUUGAUUUUCCAGAUACUUAGGGUUGGUGUUGUAUGAUGUUAUACCACGUACUGAAACAGAGUUUCAGAUAUGCAUCUGAAAGCCUGCAUUUUUUAAAUUGCUCUGUAAUUCUGCACUUAAAAGGCAAUUCUACCACAGCAAUAUUGCAGUACAGAUUAUCAAGACAUUUAGGCAGGACAGUGAUUGUGGCAGCUGUCUGAGAAAGCCACUUAAACCCUGGAGUGUCUGUAUGUAGUUUCAGGUCUGGCCAGCUAAAAUCUAAGCAAGCAGUUAAAUGUGAAGGAAAUAACAGGUACAAGAAUGAGAAAAUACUGACUGCAAAAAACUUCAUGUUCAGCUACCCUGGCAGACAGUUUUGAGUGCACCACUAACAGGUUGUGAGGUGGGAUGUUUGGCUGAAGUAAGUGCCAGGUCUCACUGAAAAAUAUAAUUAAGACCUACCCCAGUGUAUUAUGAAAAUUCAGCUGGACUUUAUUUGUUUUAAUGCUUUCUAUGCCUGUUUUGGCUGACAUCUCUUUGAAAGGACUUGGCUUUAAAACUGUCUCUGGCUUAUAUUUUGUUCACUUUAUUGAGGAGAAAAGUCUGUUAGUAUUUUGGAGAUACAGGCUUUGGUUUUAUGCAUAUAAAGAGCUUAUAUCAAUCUUUAUGUACAUUUUUAGCUUAUACAUGUAAAUGUCUCAAAAUGACCAUUAAAGGAUGCAGAUAGUUCUCUAUUACCCACAGCCCAGCUGCAAAUACCCUUGUUAUGGCUUACUUCAACAUUUCCAGUAUUAUUCACAAAAGCAAAAUUAUUUUGGCAGGAGCUUUGCCAGGGAAAGCAAGUCAGAGUCAAGACCAUCCAGGGCUUGAGGUUGUCAGUGGAGACUGGAAGGUCACUGUGACAGUGAUUGUCUUUCUAUGGUACAUUCAGGCACUGCUAAGGACAGUGAAGUUUGAGUCCCCCGCUGCUAUUUCAACACAAAUCAUAAAUAAUAGUAAAACAGUCUUUGAGUAGCGUUCUUCAGGAGCUGGCAUGGCCACAUCAGCCA